rnacentral:snRNA from 1 species
ACAUUAAAAAGCAUCUCAAAAUU